rnacentral:rRNA from 1 species
GAAGAGUUUGAUCAUGGCUCAGAUUGAACGCUGGCGGCAGGCCUAACACAUGCAAGUCGAACGGUAACAGGAAGCAGCUUGCUGCUUUGCUGACGAGUGGCGGACGGGUGAGUAAUGUCUGGGAAACUGCCUGAUGGAGGGGGAUAACUACUGGAAACGGUGGCUAAUACCGCAUAACGUCGCAAGACCAAAGAGGGGGACCUUCGGGCCUCUUGCCAUCAGAUGUGCCCAGAUGGGAUUAGCUAGUUGGUGAGGUAACGGCUCACCAAGGCGACGAUCCCUAGCUGGUCUGAGAGGAUGACCAGCCACACUGGAACUGAGACACGGUCCAGACUCCUACGGGAGGCAGCAGUGGGGAAUAUUGCACAAUGGGCGCAAGCCUGAUGCAGCCAUGCCGCGUGUAUGAAGAAGGCCUUCGGGUUGUAAAGUACUUUCAGCGGGGAGGAAGGUGUUGUGGUUAAUAACCGCAGCAAUUGACGUUACCCGCAGAAGAAGCACCGGCUAACUCCGUGCCAGCAGCCGCGGUAAUACGGAGGGUGCAAGCGUUAAUCGGAAUUACUGGGCGUAAAGCGCACGCAGGCGGUCUGUCAAGUCGGAUGUGAAAUCCCCGGGCUCAACCUGGGAACUGCAUUCGAAACUGGCAGGCUUGAGUCUUGUAGAGGGGGGUAGAAUUCCAGGUGUAGCGGUGAAAUGCGUAGAGAUCUGGAGGAAUACCGGUGGCGAAGGCGGCCCCCUGGACAAAGACUGACGCUCAGGUGCGAAAGCGUGGGGAGCAAACAGGAUUAGAUACCCUGGUAGUCCACGCCGUAAACGAUGUCUACUUGGAGGUUGUGCCCUUGAGGCGUGGCUUCCGGAGCUAACGCGUUAAGUAGACCGCCUGGGGAGUACGGCCGCAAGGUUAAAACUCAAAUGAAUUGACGGGGGCCCGCACAAGCGGUGGAGCAUGUGGUUUAAUUCGAUGCAACGCGAAGAACCUUACCUGGUCUUGACAUCCACAGAAGAAUCCAGAGAUGGAUUUGUGCCUUCGGGAACUGUGAGACAGGUGCUGCAUGGCUGUCGUCAGCUCGUGUUGUGAAAUGUUGGGUUAAGUCCCGCAACGAGCGCAACCCUUAUCCUUUGUUGCCAGCGGUCCGGCCGGGAACUCAAAGGAGACUGCCAGUGAUAAACUGGAGGAAGGUGGGGAUGACGUCAAGUCAUCAUGGCCCUUACGACCAGGGCUACACACGUGCUACAAUGGCGCAUACAAAGAGAAGCGACCUCGCGAGAGCAAGCGGACCUCAUAAAGUGCGUCGUAGUCCGGAUUGGAGUCUGCAACUCGACUCCAUGAAGUCGGAAUCGCUAGUAAUCGUGGAUCAGAAUGCCACGGUGAAUACGUUCCCGGGCCUUGUACACACCGCCCGUCACACCAUGGGAGUGGGUUGCAAAAGAAGUAGGUAGCUUAACCUUCGGGAGGGCGCUUACCACUUUGUGAUUCAUGACUGGGGUGAAGUCGUAACAAGGUAACCGUAGGGGAACCUGCGGUUGGAUCACCUCCUUACCUUAAAGAA